rnacentral:ncRNA from 1 species
UUGAGCUUAGCAAAGGGUAGCAUCGGUUUGCUUUGCACUGCUUAACGCUGGCCCUUCCCCUAGGGGGCGCGUUGCCCUCGACCUAUUCAUAACCUUUAAAUGGGUAAGACCCAGUGGCUACUUCAUUGAGCUGCUGGGUUUAAUAUAAACUUUAAGUUGGUCAUCUUUGGUAAGCAGAACUGGCGAUGAGGAAUGCUCCUAACGAGUGGUUAAGGCUCCCAAAUAGUCGCUCAUCAGACACCAUAAAAGGUGUUGGUUCACUUUGACGGGGAUUUUGGCGUUCUCAGGGAAUGCGUAGUGCAGAUGUGGUUUAGUGUAUGGUGAGUAUUUGCGCUCUAAUGGGGCUGAGGAGGAUGAAUGCAAACGAGGACAGAGUUUAACUGAUGCGCCUUGAGGAUCGGCUUUUUUGAGGGAGUGGCUUAUUGGACCGGCCAGUGCGAAGUGCAAGGAUGUUUUAAGUGUUCUUUGAAGCUACCCCAGAGGGAUCAACAUUUUUGUUAAUUUUUUCUGUGAGU